rnacentral:rRNA from 1 species
GACGAACGCUGGCGGCGUGCUUAACACAUGCAAGUCGAACGGAAAGACCCUGCUUUUGUGGGGUGCUCGAGUGGCGAACGGGUGAGUAACACGUGAGUAACCUGCCCUUGACUUUGGGAUAACUUCAGGAAACUGGGGCUAAUACCGGAUAGGAGCUCCUGCUGCAUGUGGGGGGUUGGAAAGUUUCGGCGGUUGGGGAUGGACUCGCGGCUUAUCAGCUUGUUGGUGGGGUAGUGGCUUACCAAGGCUUUGACGGGUAGCCGGCCUGAGAGGGUGACCGGCCACAUUGGGACUGAGAUACGGCCCAGACUCCUACGGGAGGCAGCAGUGGGGAAUAUUGCACAAUGGGCGGAAGCCUGAUGCAGCAACGCCGCGUGCGGGAUGACGGCCUUCGGGUUGUAAACCGCUUUCGCCUGUGACGAAGCGUGAGUGACGGUAAUGGGUAAAGAAGCACCGGCUAACUACGUG